GUUUUAAUAAUUUAAAUUUAAAAUAUUGGUCUUGUAAACCAAAAUUGAGUUAAUUCUCUUAAAACU
rnacentral:tRNA from 1 species